CCCAAGAUGCAUCAGCCAUGGGAGGCACCACCAAUGCUACUGGCCGCCUGGAACCUUACCUGGAGCAGGUCAAACUUGCCGCAUGGCAAAACGGGUGGAGCCCCAGCAAGACGGCGGUGUAACUUGCCCAGGUACUGGAAAUGGAUGCCGUGCAGGCCCUCCUCAACCUCAUGUGAGCUGAGCAGUGUGGCUACAGGGCCCUCGUAGCGACUGGAGUGGCAUUUUGAGCAGAGGCCAUUGGAUGCAGCAAUGAGGGAAGAACGGGGCAGCAGACAGCGCCAUGUGGGAGACAGCCUGGGGGCAUUUACGGCAGAUCUCAGCUACUGUGCUCAGCGUGGCUACCCCCAGUUCCCUCCCCCGGCCCAGGAGGAGCUUGCCCUCCACGCCUUUGGUAGUGUGUUCGCCGGACGUCGCCAUCAUCACUGGCUGAGGCAGAGAGGGCAGAUGCAAUUUUAUCUUUCAAGGUGUCCUGGCGUCACCCAUGAGUCCGGGCAUGUGUUACUGAGGAAACUGAUGAGGAGGGGCCGACCAGCUCUCUUUGCUCCCAGGCCUGCCCGCACCUGCCGCACUCCAGUCCGGCACAGCCAUCAGGAAACGCCGAGGCCUCCGGCCGGACCAUUUGGAUGAAGAAAGCUUGUGGAUUUCACAGUGAACAGACCAUGGCUGCUGUCAGCUCCCCUGAAUAUACUAGAUCUCACACAAAGGCAUCAGUCACCUCGACCUGGUUCCUGCAUCUUGCUGCAACAUUGCACACAGCUGUAAGAUUCUGUUUCUGAUGCUCAUUCUGAAAGAUCAGUCCAUGCGAUAUUCAUUCUCCAGAUCAGUCCUUCAUUGGGAAAGUCAUCCCUACCAUUGAGCACAUCUAUUUGGAGUGCGGUUGCAGGAAAGCAUCAUCUAUCAUCAGGGAUCCCCACCACCCAGACCAUGUUCUCUCCUCGCUGCUGCCAUUAUAAACAAGUGUGGAACAGAGCCUUCUGACCCAAUGUGCCACCCCACCCAGCAACCCACCUAUUUAACCUGAGCCUAAUCACAGGACAACUUACAAUGAUCAAUUCACCUACUAACCGACAAUGGGAGGAAACCGGAACACCUGGAGGAAACCCACGCACUCACAGGAAGGAUGUACAAACUCCUUAAAGAUGGUGUUGGAAUUGAACUCUGAACUCUGACAUCCCGACCUGUAUUAGUGCCACGUUACACUGCUGUGGCCCCCAAAUAAGGUCCCGCGAUCUCUAUUGGCUCAUCCACGUGACCCUUUAACUCUUCGAAGCUGGGAAUCACAUCUAACAUUUUCCAGACAUGAAUUCUGGAUAAGCCUGCCCCACUUUUCAGUCCCCGAGGGGAAUUCUCCUGCAGAUCAACAUCCUGAGCUGACUUGCAAGUUCAUCCACCUGACAGCUCAGCAAUGAUUCUUUUCAUCACUCAGAUCUGAAAAAUGAGAUAAAAGUGGUAACUUGAUGAAUGGACAGGCUUGUCUUGUAAUGUACUUGAAGUUUUAUAAGCUGCAGGACAAAAUGAGAGGACUGGAUUUCAUAACGGAGAAGGAGUUUCAGCUGGAGCUUCAGAUGUGUGCUUCCUAAAUGAGGCAACCACAAAAUGAAGAAACCCAGCAGAAUCCAUUAGGAAGGACCAUCAAACACCUAAUCUACAGGGAAAAAAAACAAAUUGUGCGAACAGUAGAAGUAAACAAAAACCAUUCGUAACUGAAGUUCAUGAAAGUGAAUCCACAGCCACGAAGCCAGUCGUCAUGGUGACCAAUCUAGGAACUGGUUAGUUGUAGGCCCAGAGACAAGUAGACCUCACAGAGCACUGAGCUGAACUGGCCUGACAUCCUGACCUUUUCAGUCAGACUUGAUGCUUAAAUCGUCCAAAGCUUCACUUCCAGGCCUGGGCCCCACCAACUUCAUUCGGCCUGUAGCCAACCUUACCAAUUUGGCCUGGCACUUAAAUCAAUGAAGCCUUGAGUUUCCUUGCUCUCGGGCCUGGGCCCCGCCACCUUGAUUCUGCCUCACCUUGGCUCUGCAACAUGAAACACCCUUGCUGAAACAAACUAAUUGACAUGAUAAUAGCAAUAUGCAAGCUUUCUUUAGCUCAAAUCAUGAUGGUGCAAAUUCUGUAGGAUAAUUAACACAACCCACACCGUUUUAACGUUUGGCUGAUAGGUAUGAAAUCUCCUAGUCUUUGGCCUUUUAACUUCAAUUUACUGCUUACGGUUUACAAUUAAAAACUGAAGACCCGUUCUUGUUUGAACUAAUAUCUGCCGUAUUUACAAAACUCCAGAAUACUCCCUAACGCCGUCUACCAAUGACUUUGCAGUUUGAACCGACUUUCCAAAUUCCUCUCCUCACCUCUUAGGGACUCAAGUGUCUAAUGAGGAGUUCUGGACAUGUUAGUUAGUUGAGAAGAGAGUCAGAGUCAUAGACUACUACAGUACAGAAACAGGCCCUUUGGCCCAUUGACCUGCACCUGGACCGUAGCCCAUUCUGUCCGUGAACCUAUCCGAACUUCUCUUAAGCAUUGAAAUUGAACCUGCAUCCACCUCUUCCACUGGCACUCUGACCUCCCUCGUGUGGAGACUUGAUUGACACAUGUAAAGUGGAUGUGGAGAGAAGAGACACAGUACGGUAACAGGCUCUUCCAGCCCAUUGAGCCCGCAUAGCCCAAUUACAUCCACGUGACCAUCGUUAGAACAUGGAAGGAACACCGGAGCACCCGGAGGAAACACACCCGGUCACAGAGAGAACGUACAAGCUCCUUACAAACAGCGGCAGGUAUUGAACCUGAUCACUGAUUACUGAUGCUGCAAUUGGCUUGCAUAAGUGCUGUACUGCCAAUGUGCCCCUAUCUAAACUAACGCAGUGGGAAAUGGUAAGUUCAAAGUCAAUUUAUUAUCAAAGUAAAUAUAUGUCAGCAUAUACUACCCUGAGGUUAAUUUUCUGGAAGGCAUUCAUGGUGGGCACAAAGAAACACAAUGGAAUCAAUGAUAAACUACCUACAAACAAAGACAGACAAACAACCAACGUGCAAAAGAUGACAAACUACAAAUACAAAAAGAAAAAGAAAAUAACAGUCGUGGGACAACUGAGAGAGGUGGAUUUAAAUGUCCGAGAGUGAGGCAACUCCACUGGGAAGGGGUGUAAGAGAGAAGUUUGAGUCAAAAAUCUGAUUGAAUGAAGGACGAAAGUGUUUUUGUGUCUGGGUGUCCGAGAUUUCAAAUUCCUUUGUCUUCUCCCAAAAGGUGAGAGUGUGGAUUUGAGAAGUGGUGGAUGUGCGUUUGAUUUCUACACUUAAAGUGAAAUUUGGAUAGGUACAUGGAUGGGAGGGGUAUGGAGGGCUAUGGUCAGAAUCAGAAUCAGGUUUAAUAUCAUUGGCAUAUGCCGUGUAAUUUGUUGUAAUGUGGCUGCAGUAUAUUGUAAUACAUAAUGAUAAACUAUAAAUUACAAUAAAAAAGAUGUUUAAAAAUUAAAAUUAAGUAAGUAGUGCAUAAAGAUAG